AGCCACUGACUAACGCACAUUGUGCUGCUAGUGUCCCCACUGUGCGUGUGACAGCGGCUAA
rnacentral:pre_miRNA from 1 species